UACGUAGGUGGCGAGCGUUGUCCGGAAUUACUGGGUGUAAAGGGCGCGUAGGCGGCUUGGCAAGUUGUCCGUGAAAAUCCGAUGCUUAACGUCGGAACUGCGGGCAAAACUGUCAAGCUUGAGUUUUGGAGGGGUGAGUGGAAUUCCUAGUGUAGCGGUGAAAUGCGUAGAUAUUAGGAGGAAUACCUGUGGCGAAGGCGACUCACUGGACAAUGACUGACGCUGAGGCGCGAAAGCGUGGGGAG
rnacentral:rRNA from 1 species